rnacentral:rRNA from 1 species
GUAUGUAGCAUAAUAUAAUAACAAUUUUAAAUUAGAAGUGAUAUUCCUUACACAUUUUGCGAUAUCUUGAUGUUUUCGAUAAGUAUUUAGUACAAUUACAACUAAAAAGCGCUGAGGUUUUUUAGAAGUAUUAAUUAUUAUAAGUAAUAUUUGUUUUUUAUAAUAAUUAACUACCAAAGAAAUAUAAUAUUAAUAUAUAUUAUUUAUAUUUUCUAGAAUACAAUAAAAAUUAAUCUUUAAAUUUAUAAUGUUAUUAUAAGUAAUAAAUAGAUACAAAUAAUGAACUCGGCAAUACACUUUUCAACUGUUUAUCAAAAACAUAGUUAUCAGAAGUUAUUGAUAAUUUUUUCUGCUCAAUGAUUAUUUAAAUAGCCGCAGUACCCUGACUGUGCAAAGGUAGCAUAAUCAGUUGGCUUAUAAUUGAAGUCUUGUAUGAAUGAAAUCAUGAAAGAGUGACUAUAUCAUUAGUAUAAUAUAAAAUUAAUAAGAAAGUGCAAAUGCUUUCUUAUAAUUAAUAGACGAGAAGACCCUAGAAAUUUUUAAACUAUGUUACUAUGGGUUUUUGUUGGGGCAACAAUGUAACAGAUAACUUACAUUAUUACAUGAAAUAAAAUAGAUCGAUUAAAUUACUCUAGGGAUAACAGCGUAAUAUUUGAAUGUUUGCGACCUCGAUGUUGGACUAGGAAACAAAUGCUUAG